UACAGAGGUCUCAACCGUUGUUCGGAUUCAUUGGGCGUAAAGGGUGCGUAGGCGGUCGGGUAAGUCGGAUGUGAAAUCCCAGGGCUCAACCCUGGAACUGCAUUCGAUACUGCCUGGCUAGGGUACUGGAGAGGAGACUGGAAUUUACGGUGUAGCAGUGAAAUGCGUAGAUAUCGUAAGGAAGACCAGUGGCGAAGGCGAGUCUCUGGACAGUU
rnacentral:rRNA from 1 species